GUCAAAUGAAAUAGACUGAUUUCACCUAUAAACCGUUCCAUUUUUAUUCUGA
rnacentral:snoRNA from 1 species